AGUAACGCGUGGGGACCUACCUCUUAGUGGGGGAUAACGGUUGGAAACGACCGCUAAUACCGCAUACGCCCUUCGGGGGAAAGAUUUAUCGCUAAGAGAUGGACCCGCGUUGGAUUAGAUAGUUGGUGAGGUAACGGCUCACCAAGUCAGCGAUCCAUAGCUGGUUUGAGAGGAUGAUCAGCCACACUGGGACUGAGACACGGCCCAGACUCCUACGGGAGGCAGCAGUGGGGAAUAUUGGACAAUGGGGGCAACCCUGAUCCAGCCAUGCCGCGUGAGUGAAGAAGGCCUUCGGGUUGUAAAGCUCUUUCAGAUGCGAAGAUGAUGACGGUAACAUCAGAAGAAGCCCCGGCUAAUUUCGUGCCAGCAGCCGCGGUAAUGCGAAAGGGGCUAGCGUUGUUCGGAUUUACUGGGCGUAAAGGGCACGCAGGCGGUCUUGCCAGUCAGGGGUGAAAGCCCGGGGCUCAACCCCGGAACUGCCUCUGAUACUGCAAGACUAGAGACUAGGAGAGGGUGGUGGAAUUCCCAGUGUAGAGGUGAAAUUCGUAGA
rnacentral:rRNA from 1 species